rfam:Schistosoma curassoni strain Dakar, Senegal genome assembly, scaffold: SCTD_contig0000270
ACCAGAUGAUAAGUCCCAAAUAGGACGAAACGCGCCUCCUGGAU